UACGUAGGUGACAAGCGUUAUCCGGAUUUAUUGGGCGUAAAGCGCACGCAGGCGGUCUAUCAAGUCUGACGUGAAAAUCUCUCGGCUUAACCGGGAGCGGUCGUUGGAAACUGAUGGACUUGAGGCGAUGAGAGGGGUGUGGAAUUCCCGGUGUAGUGGUGGAAUGCGUAGAUAUCGGGGAGGAACAUCAGUGGCGAAGGCGACUUCCUGGACCAAUACUGACGCUCAGGUGCGAAAGGCGUGGGGAGCAAACAGG
rnacentral:rRNA from 1 species